rnacentral:rRNA from 1 species
GACGAACGCUGGCGGCGUGCUUAACACAUGCAAGUCGAACGGAAAGGCCCUGCUUUUGUGGGGUGCUCGAGUGGCGAACGGGUGAGUAACACGUGAGUAACCUGCCCUUGACUUUGGGAUAACUUCAGGAAACUGGGGCUAAUACCGGAUUGGAGCUCCUGCUGCAUGGUGGGGGUUGGAAAGUUUCGGCGGUUGGGGAUGGACCCGCGGCUUAUCAGCUUGUUGGUGGGGUAGUGGCUUACCAAGGCUUUGACGGGUAGCCGGCCUGAGAGGGUGACCGGCCACAUUGGGACUGAGAUACGGCCCAGACUCCUACGGGAGGCAGCAGUGGGGAAUAUUGCACAAUGGGCGGAAGCCUGAUGCAGCAACGCCGCGUGCGGGAUGACGGCCUUCGGGUUGUAAACCGCUUUCGCCUGUGACGAAGCGUGAGUGACGGUAAUGGGUAAAGAAGCACCGGCUAACUACGUG